GACGAACGCUGGCGGCGUGCUUAACACAUGCAAGUCGAACGGAAAGGCCCUGCUUUUGUGGGGUGCUCGAGUGGCGAACGGGUGAGUAACACGUGAGUAACCUGCCCUUGACUUUGGGAUAACUUCAGGAAACUGGGGCUAAUACCGGAUAGGAGCUCCUGCUGCAUGGUGGGGGUUGGACAGUUUCGGCGGUUGGGGAUGGACUCGCGGCUUAUCAGCUUGUUGGUGGGGUAGUGGCUUACCAAGGCUUUGGCGGGUAGCCGGCCUGAGAGGGUGACCGGCCACAUUGGGACUGAGAUACGGCCCAGACUCCUACGGGAGGCAGCAGUGGGGAAUAUUGCACAAUGGGCGGAAGCCUGAUGCAGCAACGCCGCGUGCGGGAUGACGGCCUUCGGGUUGUAAACCGCUUUCGCCUGUGACGAAGCGUGAGUGACGGUAAUGGGUAAAGAAGCACCGGCUAACUACGUG
rnacentral:rRNA from 1 species